AGAACGUCGUGAGACAGUUCGGUCCCUAUCUGUCGUGGGCGCAGGAAAUUUGAGAGGAGCUGUCCUUAGUACGAGAGGACCGGGAUGGACGCACCGCUGGUGCACCAGUUGUUCCGCCAGGAGCACAGCUGGGUAGCUAUGUGCGGCCGGGAUAAGCGCUGAAAGCAUCUAAGCGUGAAGCCCCCCUCAAGAUGAGAUUUCCCACAGCAUAAGCUGGUAAGACCCCUUAUAGAUGAUGAGGUAGAUAGGUUCGAGGUGGAAGCGUGGCAACACGCGGAGCUGACGAAUACUAAUCGGUCGAGGGCUUAACCAAG
rnacentral:rRNA from 1 species